rnacentral:tRNA from 1 species
AUUCAGAUAGCUUAAAUAAAAAGCACAAUAUUGAAGAUAUUGAGAUACCCGAAGUUUUGAAUA